UACGUAGGGUGCGAGCGUUGUCCGGAAUUAUUGGGCGUAAAGGGCUCGUAGGCGGUUUGUCGCGUCGGGAGUGAAAACCAUGGGCUUAACUCAUGGCUUGCUUCCGAUACGGGCAGACUAGAGGCAUGCAGGGGAGAACGGAAUUCCUGGUGUAGCGGUGAAAUGCGCAGAUACCAGGAGGAACACCGGUGGCGAAGGCGGUUCUCUGGGCAUGUCCUGACGCUGAGGUGCGAAAGCGUGGGGAGCAAACAGG
rnacentral:rRNA from 1 species